AAAUGUCUAGAUAGGUAGUUUAAUUUCCGCUUCACCUCUGGCAUGUUUGACAACAUUAAUAUUGUUGUGUAAAUUAACGGGAGUGAACUAAACAAUUAAAUGUGGAGUUGCGUCGAUAUGCAACCCGUUGCAUAUCGAACUUCACUUAAUGUGUAGUGUUUGAUUGUGUGAAUUGUCAUGCCGUGACUUGCAUAUAUUCAGCUGCUCAUGCAUCUUAGGUGUUGUGCAUCGUGUGGUGAUUCUCGUGUGUUGAUGCUUGUUUCCGGUUUCCUCCGUCUCGAUAGAGUUCCGCAAGCGUGUCGGAUGUGAGGACCGUUCGGCUACGUCGGUUCGUUUGCUUCACGGGGGCAUUCUUCUUCCAAGCGGGAUCUCAGGCAAGAUGAUCAUUUCCCCAGAUACCAUUACUAUCAUUGCCAUGCUAGUUUUACCGUUGCUAUCGUUUACGUCUCGUUGCCUACCACCUGUUAAAUAUCAGCCUCUCUACAAUGCCAUGAAACCAUCAACCUGUUCACCCUAGCAAACCACUGAUUGGCUAUGUUACUGCUUGCUUAACCCUGUUGAUAGCGUUGCUAGUUGCAGGUGCAGUUGCUUCCAUGCAAAGCAUGGUUUCCUUGUUAUAGCACCAUAUUAAAUGUUGUAUAAUUUAAUGCACCUAUAUACUUGGUAAAAAGUGGAAGGCUCGGCCUUUCUAGCCUGGUGUUUUGUUCCACCUUUGCCCCCUUUAGUUACCGGCUACCGGUGUUAUGUUCCAUAAACGAGCGCUCCUAACACGUUCGGGGUUGUUAUGGGGACCCCCUUGAUAAUUCGUUUUAGAUUAAAGCUGGUCUGGCAAGGCCCAACAUUGGUACUACAUUUGCCUAAACACCUAAUAAAAUUGCAUAGGGACUUUCCGGACCCCGAGGAUAAUUCAAUCAACCCCCGGGCCAGUGCUCCUCAUGAGUGUUGGUCCAAAACAGAGCAGCUUAUUAACGCUACCCGGGGUAACUCGGCGUUUGGCGUGGUAACCAUCGCUCAUCCGUCGUGUCCUGAGAACGAGGUACGCGACUCCUAUCGGGAUCGUCGACACGUCGGGCGGCCUUGCUGGAUUAGUUUUACCUUUGACGAGAUAUCUUGUGCAUCGGGAUUCCAGUGAUGCUUUGGGUAAUCUCAGAGUUGAGGUUUUCCACUAGGAAAUCCGACGAGAUCGCGAGCUUCGUGAUUGAGGGUUUCUAUGCGGCUCGUGGUAAUUUGUGAUGGACUAGUUGGAGCACCCCUGCAGGGUUAAAUCUUUUCGGAAAGCCGUGCCCGCGGUUAUGUGGCAACGUGGAAACUUUGUUUAACACUGGUUCUAGAUAACUUGAAGUUAACUUAAUUAAAACAUGCCAACUGUGUGCGUAACCGUGACUGUCUCUUUCGUGAGUUCCUUCUCCGAUCGAGGACACGGUGGGGUUAUGUCUGUCGUAGGUAGGUGUUCAGGAUCAUUCAUUUGAUCAUCAGUAGUUCACGUCCGCUAUGCGUAGAUCUUCCCCCUCUUACUUCUUGGACUCGUAAGUUAGCCACCGAAUAUAUGCUUAGCCGCUGAUGCAACCUCACCACUUAACCAUACCUCACCCAUUAAGCUUUGCUAGUCUUGAUACCUUUGGAAAUGAGAUUGUUGAGUCCCCUGUGGCUCACAGAUUACUACAACACCAGUUGCAGGUACAGGUAAAGGUUACUUGACGCGAGCACGUUGAUUGUUCAUUUGGAGUUGCUUCUUCUUCUUCUUCUCCAUCGAUCUAGGAUGGGUUCCAGGCCGGCAGCCUGGGAUAGCAAGGAUGGACGUCGUUCUUCUUUUGUCGUUUGUUUUCGUCCGUAGACGGACCCUGCUCUUACUCUUGAUGAUUAUGUAAUGUACUGAUGUGACUCUGAUGUAGCUUGUGGCGAGUGUAAGCCAACCCUUUAUAUAUCUCUCCUUUUCAG
rnacentral:lncRNA from 1 species